UACGACUACAUAUCAGGCAUAUCAAUAAGCGGAGGAAAAGAAACUAACAAGGAUUCCCUUAGUAACGGCGAGUGAAGCGGGAAGAGCUCAAAUUUGAAAUCUUCAAGGUUCUACCUUGACGAAUUGUAGUUUAAAGAAGUGUUUUCUGUUAGAUGAGUAGCAAAAGUUCCUUGGAAUGGGACAUCAUAGAGGGUGAGAAUCCCGUAUUUGACGUUAUUCAUUCUAGCUGUGUGAUACACUUUCAAAGAGUCGGAUUGUUUGGGAAUGCAGUCCAAGAUGGGUGGUAAAUUUCAUCUAAAGCUAAAUAUUGGCGAGAGACCGAUAGCGAACAAGUACCGUGAGGGAAAGAUGAGAAGAACUUUGAAAAGAGAGUUAAACAGUACGUGAAAUUGUCAAAAGGGAAGCGUUUGACACCAGUGUUGUUUUUCCGAAAAUCAAUUACGAAUGGCUUGAUUUUGUGUUGUAUUGACCUUAUCAGCUUUCUGCACUUUUUUCGAGUCUUUCUUAAUGCACUUUUCGGUUAACAAGUCAACAUCAAUUUCUUUUGAUGUAAAAGAGUAUUCGGAAGGUGGCUUUCUUUUCGGAGAAAGUGUUUAUAGCCCUAUACUUCUACAAUCGGAGAGAUUGAGGUCUGCAGCGUAGAUCCUUCGGGGUUAGAUACACUUGUGCUAAGUUGUAGCUUUUCAUAGACAACUUGUUGACUAUGUUUAGUCAUGCGGCUUACUCGCUUGUGCUAUUUUACCUACGCUUAGGAUGUUGAGUAGCGACAUACGCAC
rnacentral:rRNA from 1 species